rnacentral:lncRNA from 10 species
UAACAUAAGCUUAUACGGGGUUAAAAAUACCAUUCUGAAGAUGUGUCUUGUGGAAUUGGGUGUAUGCUCUCAGUAUACAGGCUGAUUGUUCCUGUCAUAUUUGAUGGCCCUUAAUAUGGAGAAAACUGUUCUGUUGAUUUAUUCUCACACUAACAGCUCUCCUUUUUGGUCACUGCAUUAAUUUUAGUCAGUUACUUUCUUGCUUCUAAAGAAUCUUUUUAUCUUAAUGGCAGAUCAUUUUUAGUUAGAAGUAACACAUAUCCUCUCCCAUCUGGGUACUGACAGAGUUUGGAAAAGCCAUUAUCUUUAUAGUUUAAGAGACAGCUUGAUGUUAUUGUUACACUUUGAAAGUUAAAGUUUUUAAGGUUGGGUGCGGUGGCUCACACCUGUAAUCCCAGCACUUUGGGAGAAUCACUUGAGCCUGGGAGGCAGAGGUUGCAGUGAGCUGAGAUCGCACCAUUGCACUCCAGCCUUGGUGACAGAGCAAGACUCCAUCUCAAAAAAA